UAGGGAAUCUUCGGCAAUGGACGGAAGUCUGACCGAGCAACGCCGCGUGAGUGAAGAAGGUUUUCGGAUCGUAAAGCUCUGUUGUAAGAGAAGAACGAGUGUGAGAGUGGAAAGUUCACACUGUGACGGUAUCUUACCAGAAAGGGACGGCUAACUACGUGCCAGCAGCCGCGGUAAUACGUAGGUCCCGAGCGUUGUCCGGAUUUAUUGGGCGUAAAGCGAGCGCAGGCGGUUAGAUAAGUCUGAAGUUAAAGGCUGUGGCUUAACCAUAGUAGGCUUUGGAAACUGUUUAACUUGAGUGCAAGAGGGGAGAGUGGAAUUCCAUGUGUAGCGGUGAAAUGCGUAGAUAUAUGGAGGAACACCGGUGGCGAAAGCGGCUCUCUGGCUUGUAACUGACGCUGAGGCUCGAAAGCGUGGGGAGCAAACAGGAUUAGAUACCCUGGUAGUCCACGCUGUAAACGAUGAGUGCUAGUGUUAGACCCUUUCCGGGGUUUAGUGCCGUAGCCGCAUUAAGCACUCCGCCUGGGGAGUACGACC
rnacentral:rRNA from 1 species